CGGAGGAAAAGAAACCAACCGGGAUUGCCUUAGUAACGGCGAGUGAAGCGGCAAAAGCUCAAAUUUGAAAUCUGGUACCUUCGGUGCCCGAGUUGUAAUUUGGAGAGGGCAACUUUGGGGCCGUUCCUUGUCUAUGUUCCUUGGAACAGGACGUCAUAGAGGGUGAGAAUCCCGUGUGGCGAGGAGUGCGGUUCUUUGUAAAGUGCCUUCGAAGAGUCGAGUUGUUUGGGAAUGCAGCUCUAAGUGGGUGGUAAAUUCCAUCUAAAGCUAAAUAUUGGCGAGAGACCGAUAGCGAACAAGUACAGUGAUGGAAAGAUGAAAAGAACUUUGAAAAGAGAGUGAAAAAGUACGUGAAAUUGUUGAAAGGGAAGGGCAUUUGAUCAGACAUGGUGUUUUGUGCCCUCUGCUCCUUGUGGGUAGGGGAAUCUCGCAUUUCACUGGGCCAGCAUCAGUUUUGGUGGCAGGAUAAAUCCAUAGGAAUGUAGCUUGCCUCGGUAAGUAUUAUAGCCUGUGGGAAUACUGCCAGCUGGGACUGAGGACUGCGACGUAAGUCAAGGAUGCUGGCAUAAUGGUUAUAUGCCGCCCGU
rnacentral:rRNA from 1 species